rnacentral:rRNA from 1 species
GUGGGGAAUAUUGGACAAUGGGCGAAAGCCUGAUCCAGCCAUGCCGCGUGUGUGAAGAAGGUCUUCGGAUUGUAAAGCACUUUAAGUUGGGAGGAAGGGCAGUAAGUUAAUACCUUGCUGUUUUGACGUUACCAACAGAAUAAGCACCGGCUAACUUCGUGCCAGCAGCCGCGGUAAUACGAAGGGUGCAAGCGUUAAUCUGAAUUACUGGGCGUAAAGCGCGCGUAGGUGGUUUUGUAAGUUGGAGGUGAAAUCCCCGGGCUCAACCUGGGAACUGCCUCCAAAACUGCAUGACUAGAGUACGGUAGAGGGUAGUGGAAUUUCCUGUGUAGCGGUGAAAUGCGUAGAUAUAGGAAGGAACACCAGUGGCGAAGGCGACUACCUGGACUGAUACUGACACUGAGGUGCGAAAGCGUGGGGAGCAAACAGGAUUAGAUACCCCUGUAGUCC